rnacentral:rRNA from 1 species
GCUUGGUCCUAACCUUUUUAUUUAGUGUCGCUUAACUUACACAUGCAAGUCUCCGCACCCCGGUGAAAACGCCCUCUCUAUCCUACUGGACUCAGGAGCCGGUAUCAGGCACAAAACUAUGCCCAAGACACCUAGCUUUGCCACACCCCAACGGGUACUCAGCAGUGAUUAACAUUAAAAAUUAGCGUAAGCUAGACUUAGUCAAAGCGAACAGGGCCGGCAAACCCGGUGCCAGCCGCCGCGGCUAUACCACGGGGCCCAACUUAAUAAAUAUCGGCGUAAAGCGUGAUUAAAGCAACACUUCACUAGAGUUGAACCAUGGNUGAGCCGUGAUAAGUCUGUCAUUAAGAAACCCGAAAACGAAAGUUACUCUAUUCCAUCAACUUGAACUCACGGCAGCUGGGGCACAAACUGAGAUUAGAUAG